rnacentral:tRNA from 2 species
UGAAAUAUGGUGUAAUGGUAGCACGAUAGAUUUUGGUCCUAUCAGUCGGGGUUCGAAUCCCCGUAUUUCAA